UGCAGUCGAGCGGAACGAUCCUAGCUUGCUAGGAGGCGUCGAGCGGCGGACGGGUGAGUAAUGCAUAGGAAUCUGCCCGGUAGUGGGGGAUAACUUGAGGAAACUCAAGCUAAUACCGCAUACGCCCUACGGGGGAAAGCAGGGGCUCUUCGGACCUUGCGCUAUCGGAUGAGCUUAUGUCGGAUUAGCUGGUUGGUGAGGUAACGGCUCACCAAGGCGACGAUCCGUAGCUGGUCUGAGAGGAUGAUCAGCCACAUCGGGACUGAGACACGGCCCGAACUCCUACGGGAGGCAGCAGUGGGGAAUAUUGGACAAUGGGGGCAACCCUGAUCCAGCCAUGCCGCGUGUGUGAAGAAGGCCCUCGGGUUGUAAAGCACUUUCAGCGAGGAAGAAUGCUUGUCGGUUAAUACCCGGCAAGGGAGACAUCACUCGCAGAAGAAGCACCGGCUAACUCCGUGCCAGCAGCCGCGGUAAUACGGAGGGUGCGAGCGUUAAUCGGAAUUACUGGGCGUAAAGCGUGCGUAGGCGGCUUGAUAAGCCGGUUGUGAAAGCCCCGGGCUCAACCUGGGAACGGCAUCCGGAACUGUUAGGCUAGAGUGCAGGAGAGGAAGGUAGAAUUCCCGGUGUAGCGGUGAAAUGCGUAGAGAUCGGGAGGAAUACCAGUGGCGAAGGCGGCCUUCUGGACUGACACUGACGCUGAGGUACGAAAGCGUGGGUAGCAAACAGGAUUAGAUACCCUGGUAGUUCACGCCCGUAAACGAAGUCGACUAGCCGUUGGGGUCCUCGAGACCUUUUGUGGCGCAGUUAACGCACUAAGUCGACCGCCUGGGGGAGUACGGCCGCAAGGUUAAAACUCAAAUGAAUUGACGGGGCCCGCACAAGCGGUGGAGCAUGUGGUUUAAUUCGAUGCAACGCGAGAACCUUACCUA
rnacentral:rRNA from 1 species